rnacentral:sRNA from 1 species
UCCGUGUAGGCGAGGGAUUCCGACCCGCGGAUGGAGGCGGGGGACCCACCAGGUCCGCCGAUCGGACCGGGGCCUUGCGGCCCCUUGGGGGUGAAGCCGGCGUCGUAUCAACGGUGAACGACGCGGCCGGGUGACCUCUCCCAUCCGAACCCGACAGCUGACCUCGCAAGCGUGUUACCGAGAGGAACU